rnacentral:rRNA from 1 species
UACGUAGGGGGCAAGCGUUGUCCGGAUUUAUUGGGCGUAAAGAGCGUGUAGGCGGCCAGGUAGGUCUGCUGUGAAAACUCGAGGCUUAACCUCGAGCUGUCGGCGGAAACCAUCUGGCUAGAGUCCGGAAGAGGAGAAUGGAAUUCCCGGUGUAGCGGUGAAAUGCGCAGAUAUCGGGAAGAACACCCGUGGCGAAGGUGGUUCUCUGGGACGGUACUGACGCUGAGACGCGAAAGCGUGGGGAGCGAACAGG